rnacentral:rRNA from 1 species
GACGAACCGUACGAACGUUAUUCGGAAUCACUGGGCUUAAAGGGUGUGUAGGCGGCGCGACAAGUUGGGUGUGAAAUCCCUCGGCUCAACCGAGGAACUGCGCCCAAAACUGUCGUGCUCGAGGGAGACAGAGGUGAGCGGAACUUAGGGUGGAGCGGUGAAAUGCGUUGAUAUCCUAAGGAACACCGGUGGCGAAAGCGGCUCACUGGGUCUCUUCUGACGCUGAGGCACGAAAGCUAGGGUAGCGAACGGG